UGGGGAAUUUUGGACAAUGGGCGAAAGCCUGAUCCAGCAAUGCCGCGUGUGUGAAGAAGGCCUUCGGGUUGUAAAGCACUUUUGUCCGGAAAGAAAUCCUUGGCUCUAAUACAGUCGGGGGAUGACGGUACCGGAAGAAUAAGCACCGGCUAACUACGUGCCAGCAGCCGCGGUAAUACGUAGGGUGCAAGCGUUAAUCGGAAUUACUGGGCGUAAAGCGUGCGCAGGCGGUUUGCUAAGACCGAUGUGAAAUCCCCGGGCUCAACCUGGGAACUGUAUUGGUGACUGGCAGGCUAGAGUAUGGCAGAGGGGGGUAGAAUUCCACGUGUAGCAGUGAAAUGCGUAGAGAUGUGGAGGAAUACCGAUGGCGAAGGCAGCCCCCUGGGCCAAUACUGACGCUCAUGCACGAAAGCGUGGGGAGCAAAACAGGAUUAGAUACCCUGGUAGUCCACGCCCUAAACUAUGUCAACUAGUUGUUGGGGACUUCAUUUCCUUAGUAACGUAGCUAACGCGUGAAGUUGACCGCCUGGGGAGUACGGUCGCAAGAUUAAAACUCAAAGGAAUUGACGGGGUCAUA
rnacentral:rRNA from 1 species